UGUUUUUGCUCAUUUCUCCUCCCCCCUUUCUCUAACAUCAUUCAAAGUAUCAAACCCUAAAUUCAGUUGAAGAAUUUCAACUAUGCAUAUCCUUUUUCACACUUCACCUUACCAAAUGUUCGUAUUUGACCUCCAAAUGUGUUUCUGAGUCAUGGAACGUUUUUCAUCGAAUUAAAAAUGCAGAAUACCCCUUCAGGCAUGCUUUCAUCUCUACAGGACCAGGAGAUUGGAUCUCCAUUCGUUUGUAGAGCUAUUUACUCGAUCGCCGUGAACGGACCGGAGGGAACUGCAAGAGCGGAGCUCUACCAAGAAAGGGGGUGAAAGAGAAUGAACAUAACCUGAGAGGGAGCCUCGGGUGUCAGGUACCCACAUGAGACUCUUUUUUCUGAGGUUAUAAGCAUCAUUGAAUUCUCACCGGUGUUUGCUAGAACACCAACGGCGAACGCACUCUGAUGGACAGGGUAAAUUUUUUACUCAACACAAUUAAAGCCGAAGGCUAGUGAGUGGUCUUCCCCCUACUUUCCUUCCUUCUCUAGCAGCUACAAUCUUGAAAAUAGGUGCGAGGGCCUGCACUCACUCAGUUCACCUCCCCUGCAGAAGCUAGUGCCACCAUAU